rnacentral:rRNA from 1 species
UCGUACGCUCUCGGGAAGAGGGCGUGGCGGACGGCUGAGUAACACGUGGCUAACCUGCCCUUGGGAUCUGGAUAACCCCGGGAAACUGGGGCUAAUCCGGAGCAGGCAAGGGAAUCUGGAAUGAUCUCUUGCCUGAAGGCCUCUCGGCUGAUCCCGUCGAGAGGCGCCCAAGGAUGGGGCUGCGGCCCAUCAGGCUGUUGGGGGAGUAAAGGUCCCCCAAACCGAUAACGGGUAGGGGCCGUGGGAGCGGGAGCCCCCAGUUGGGCACUGAGACAAGGGCCCAGGCCCUACGGGGCGCACCAGGCGCGGAACGUCCCCAAUGCGGGAAACCGUGAGGGCGUUACUCCUAGUGCCCUCGCAAGAGGGCUUUUCUCCACUCCAGAAAGGUGGAGGAAUAAGCGGGGGGCAAGACUGGUGUCAGCCGCCGCGGUAAUACCAGCCCCGCGAGUGAUCGGGACGUUUAUUGGGCUUAAAGCGCCCGUAGCCGGCCUGUAAAGUCACCGUUUAAAGACCCGGGCUCAACUCGGGGAACGGCGGUGAUACUUACAGGCUAGGGGGCGGGAGAGGUCGGAGGUACUCCCGGAGUAGGGGCGAAAUCCUCAGAUCCCGGGAGGACCACCAGUGGCGAAAGCGUCCGGCUAGAACGCGCCCGACGGUGAGGGGCGAAAGCCGGGGUAGCAAAUAGGAUUAGAUACCCUAGUAGUCCCGGCUGUAAACGAUGCAGGCUAGGUGUCGCGUAGGCUUUGUGCCUGCGCGGUGCCGCAGGAAAACUGGUAAGCCCGCCGCCUGGGGAGUACGGCCGCAAGGCUGA